UACGGCCAUUUAACCUUGAAACACCGGUUCUCCUACGAUCACCGAGGUUAAGUAACGCCGAGCCUGGUCAGUAACUAAAUGGGUAUCCGCUUAUGAAUACCUGGUGCUGUAA